rnacentral:lncRNA from 1 species
UUGCAGGUUUGCACAGAGCAGACAGGCAGAGUUUAGGAGCCAAGAACCCAUGUGACUCCCAGAAAUUGAGAGAGAGGUUGAGAAGAAAAGUGCAAGAGAGAACUUGCUUGGUGGCAAAACGCAAACUCCACACAGGCUGGGUUCUGGCAGGUGACUUGGCUACCAGGUCUCCAUUUCUGACCUCCUCCUCCACCAUUUUCUACAAGAGAGGCUGCGUGGCUAACACAGUUAACUUCCCAGCUUCCCUGGCAGCAAGCAACGGCCAUCUGAUAGGUUCUGGGAAAUAGCCAGAAGUCCUCGUGAUCAGCUUCCCCAACAUAAACGCAAAGCCUUCCCAGAAGCAAACCCUCCAGUCUUUCACCUUUUCUCUUCCUUGCCUGGAAGUAGGUAGGAUGUGCCCCAUGUAGGGGCAGCAGCCUUCUUGAGACCAUGAGACAAUCAAAAAGAGCAUGAAGGUGUAUGCUGCAAGCUUGGAAGAACAAAAAAGAGGCAGAGUUCAGCCUGUUGGCCGUCUCUUUGAGCUACCCUGCUGCCCUGGUAGCAGGAGAAAGAAACCUCUGUCUGUUUCAAGACUCCUGACCAAGGCUUGGGUUAUGGCUCAGUGGCAGAGCCACAUAAAAAGAAGUAGAUAAUAUAAAGGUCCAUGGACAACUAAAACACUUAUUUAAAAAAAGAAAAACGAACAGAAAACUCGUGACCCAUCUGGGAAGUUCCUUAUUUUGCUGUUGUCUAUUGUGAUCCAGGAACUGUACCUGGCGCAGAGUUGGUCUCUUUAUCAAGUUCUAAAUGAAUAGCUGCCUUCUCUGCUGAAGACCAGUUCCGAGACCACCUGAGCUUUGUGCUGAGCCGCCCCUUUUACUUAACAUGCAUUGGCUGGUUCCUUUUUCUUGCGGCCCCAAUUCUAAUCAAGACAGUCAGGACCGGCUACCUGAGGGGUGGGCAGAGGAUGGGCCUCAGGGAAGAUUCUAGAUGCCGUGAUGGCUUCCCCACUUACUUAGGGUCCCCUCUGUCCAUUUUCCACACUGGAGCAGACAAUUUAGAAACAAAUCAGAUCUUGCCCUUCCCUAUUCAAAUUCAGGUCCACCCUGAAUGCCCCCUCCCCUCCUUCAGCAUUCUGCUCAAAUGCCACCUCCUCUGAGAAGCCCUCCCUGAACACCAGGUAAAACUAUUCCCACCCAGCCAUGCUGCACCCUUCCCUCCUGAAAGCAUCUCGCUGCACCCCCUCCAUUCUUCUGUUUGCUUAUUUAAUGUUCGUUUCCUACCUCUAGAUGUUAAGCCUCCUGAGGGCAGGAAUUGCUGCUCACUGACUGGCAUAGGUGGGAUAAGAAAAUAAAUGCCUGCUAUGAGGGCUCAGUGGCUAUGCCUGUGAUCCCAGUGACUUGGAAGGCUGAGGCAGGAGGAUGGCAAAUUCAAGGCCAGCUUCAGCAACUUAGGGAGGGCCUGUUUCAAAAUAAAAAAUAAAAAGGACUGGGGAUAUAGUUUGACGGCAGAGCACCCCUGGGUUCAAACUGCAAAAAUUUUUUUAACAAUGCAUGUUGAAAGGCUAAAUACUUAAG